rnacentral:lncRNA from 1 species
GUCUCUUUGCUGAAAAUGGGUUUCAAGAAAAAUCUAUUUUUAUAAAAUAUAAAGAAUUUUUACAAGAGAAUCUGGAUUUGAGAAAAAAAUAUUUUGACUGGCUAAUUUAGGGGAAAUUGACAACUUUGUCGCGUUCAUACUGCACUGGUAACUUUUUAGAGAUCAAGAUGUGUGUUUUAAACUGGAUUCGUAGACUGUUUUUUGAAGGAUGGGCUAUAAACAGAUGAUCUUCAUAUCUUUUCAUAGCAUGUAAUAAUAAUAAUAAAUUAUUAAUUACUAGGGGAAAGGAGUGUUCGUUCUACCCAGGGUACCACAGUUCCCCACAGUCAAAACCCAAAAGCAAGGAGAUGAGUUGAAAGACAGUUUUUCUUUAAGUCAUCAGUAUGGGAUGUCAGCAGAACAAAAAUUAAAAAGAUUAAUUUUCUUUUUGAUCUAAAACUUCCUUAGUUUGAGCAGUAGGUGCUACGAAAUUAUUUAUAUACCUUAGUAUCAUAGUUAAAUGUAAUGUGUUUAGGAAAGGAAAACAAAAGAUACAUUUGCUUUAAAUUCAUUAAGCAAUUUUCAAAUUCACUUUGUAGCCCAUGCUGAUAGAAUUGGGCUGUGUUGGUACAUUUGAAACACUGUUUAUGUUGCUUGAAACACUUAUUUAUUUAAUCGCAGAUGUGAUGAUGCCUAUGGCCGAGAUCAAAUAUAGCUAGAUUGGCUAGACUACUUAUUUGUUUACUUAAACUAUGGGAAGAAGCAUAUUAUUGUGUCAUUCUGUUGUGUGUGUAUGUGUAUAUAUAAUAUAAAUAUAUAUAUAAAGUUAUUUUUUCUUUGGGUUAAUUUAUUAUAAGUUGUAACACUUGGCUAGUUUUGUUUGUAUAUGUCUUAAAAUGUUUUCUUAUGAUAUUUAAGUGACAGUUAAAGAGGUAUCAAGGUAACUUGUGUAGAACUAUUGUUUGAUAUAUUGUCAUGUUUGUUGUGAAUAUUUUUUCUUACUGCACAGUAGAAAAAUAAAAACAACUGGGUCUUUAUUUUAAUGUAAUUCAGAUUGGGGAAACAAAACAGAGCUAAGGGAACAAAAUGACUGCGGGAGCACUCUCCCAUGUCCAGUGCACUGAUCAUUUUAGUAUGUUUGUGCUUUGUACGGUUAUAUAUUUAAAACAAAAACAAAACAAAACAAAACAAAAAAAAAUACAAGAGUUCAUGCUCUUCCCUGGGUAAUAGAAACAGUUACUCG